rnacentral:rRNA from 1 species
GACGAACGCUGGCGGCGUGCUUAACACAUGUAAGUCGAACGGUAAGGCGCUUUCGGGGGUAAAUGAGUGGAGAAAGGGUGAGUAAGAGGUGAGUAAGUUGAAUAUAAAUUUGGGAUAAAGCUAGGCAACUGGUGACAAUCCUGGAUAUGUGUUCCUGCUGCAUGGUGGGGGUUGGAAAGCUCCGGCGGUUGUUGAUGGACUCGCGGCCUAUCAGCUUGUUGGUGGGGUAGUGGCCUAUCAAGGCGGUGGCGGGUAGCCGGCCUGAGAGAGUGACCGGCCACAUUGGGUCUGAGAUACGGCCCAGACUCCUACGGGGGGCAGCAGUGGGGAAGAUUGCACAAUGGGCGCAAGCCUGAUGCAGCAACGCCGCGUGCGGGAGGACGGCCUUCGGAUGGUAAACCGCUUUCAGCAGGGACGAAGCUUGUUGUGACGGUACCUGCAGAAGAAGCACCGGCUAACUACGUG